rnacentral:rRNA from 1 species
CCUACGGGUGGCAGCAGUGGGGAAUAUUGGACAAUGGGCGAAAGCCUGAUCCAGCCAUGCCGCGUGUGUGAAGAAGGCCUUCGGGUUGUAAGCACUUUCAGUGGGGAAGAAAGCCUUGGGGCUAAUACCCUCGAGGAAGGACAUCACCCACAGAAGAAGCACCGGCUAACUCCGUGCCAGCAGCCGCGGUAAUACGGAGGGUGCGAGCGUUAAUCGGAAUUACUGGGCGUAAAGCGCGCGUAGGCGGUCUGAUAAGCCGGUUGUGAAAGCCCCGGGCUCAACCUGGGAACGGCAUCCGGAACUGUCAGGCUAGAGUGCAGGAGAGGUAGGUAGAAUUCCCGGUGUAGCGGUGAAAUGCGUAGAGAUCGGGUGGAAUACCAGUGGCGAAGGCGGCCUUCUGGACUGACACUGACGCUGAGGUGCGAAAGCGUGGGUAGCAAACAGGAUUAGAUACCCCGGUAGUC